CUACUGUAGAAACAUACAUAGUAAAACUGAGAUGAUACAGAGAAAAUUAGCAUGGCCCUUCUCAGGGAUGAUGGGCCAACUUAUAAAGUGGUCUAUAUUAUA